rnacentral:rRNA from 1 species
UACAGAGGUGCGAGCGUUAAUCGGAAUUACUGGCGUAAAGCGUGCGUAGACGGUCAAGUAAGUCGGGUGUGAAAGCCCGGGCUCAACCUGGGGAAUUGCAUUCGAGACUGCGUGCUAGGGUGCGGAAGGAGGGAAGCGGAAUUUCCGGUGUAGCGGUGGAAUGCGUAGAGAUCCGGAGGAACACCAAAGGCGAAGGCAGUGUCCUGGGGAGUACCUGACGCUCAGGUGCGAAAGCCAGG